UGGGGAAUAUUGCACAAUGGGCGCAAGCCUGAUGCAGCCAUGCCGCGUGUAUGAAGAAGGCCUUCGGGUUGUAAAGUACUUUCAGUCGGGAGGAAGGUGGUAAGGUUAAUAACCUUAUCAAUUGACGUUACCGACAGAAGAAGCACCGGCUAACUCCGUGCCAGCAGCCGCGGUAAUACGGAGGGUGCAAGCGUUAAUCGGAAUUACUGGGCGUAAAGCGCACGCAGGCGGUUGAUUGAGUCAGAUGUGAAAUCCCCGGGCUUAACCCGGGAAUUGCAUCUGAUACUGGUCAGCUAGAGUCUUGUAGAGUGGGGUAGAAUUCCAUGUGUAGCGGUGAAAUGCGUAGAGAUGUGGAGGAAUACCGGUGGCGAAGGCGGCCCCCUGGACAAAGACUGACGCUCAGGUGCGAAAGCGUGGGGAGCAAACAGG
rnacentral:rRNA from 1 species